GGCACUUUUAAAAAAUCUCCUCUUUUACGAGAAAACAAGUAACUCACCGCUCGCAACACAUCUCAACGAUCCUCGUUCAUUGAUCAAAGAUGCAGAAGAAAAUUGUGCCAUAUCCAGGGAAAAUCUCUGUGGCGUUCCGCAAGGGGCCACUUGGAUACCUUCCCCGGGACUCGUCAAAAGAAGCUCGGCGGAUUAAAAAUGUCCCCAAGCUUCAGGACAAGUCUGCACCUGUGAGGGAGGACGAUGCUCUGACUGUCAUCUAUCAGAGAGGAGGGGAUGCCUCUGACAUGAAGGAAGUGCAGGGAGAGUACAUCCUGCAGUUUGGAAAGUAUAAAGGGAAAUCUUUCCAGUGGCUUCUGGAGAAUGAAUGUCGGGUACACCAUGUACCUGAUCAAAGAUCUCCAGAAGCAAGAGGCUGUAGGGACCUCUGUGGAAGAAGGACAUGGCAAGGAGAGCUUGCAUUCAUUUGUACAGUAUGCCCUCAGCUUUACAGAGAUAAAAACUCUUCUGAACUACGAGGCCAGCAGAGUGAGUGUUGGAGCAGAAGCCUCUGAGGAUGAUCAGCUGGUUGGCUUUGGCUCAUGAGCCAAGAGCACCUGGAAGGAGAUUUGGGGUGGCAGAGGUGACGGCUAUGGAGACUUUAUCACGAGGAAGAGCUGCAGUCAAGGAACACGGAUGCAUAAGCUGCAGCAGUACGUGCGGAAGAAGCAGCAGUCUGUGUCUGCUUCCACAAAUGCUCCAACUAAACCCCUGGGGAUGGAUGAGGAUAAAGACCUGGAGGACGCAAUGCUGAGCAUCUCACCUGUAAAAC